AAUUGGAAUUUUGGAUUCAAGGUGUUUGAUCACAUGUUACGGAUGAGUUCUUGACUUUUAGAAGUACCUUGGAGUGUUGGAAACAACUAGGAAACAUAGGUAUAAUACCUAGGAACAUGUAUGAAAAAGUGGGGAAUUAAGGUAACGGGAAGGAUUGGCGUCCUUGGCACUCUAAGAGGCGUGGGGCGCCAGGCCUUAACUUCAAAGGGGACUACUGGGCACCCUGCCAGGUGCUCUGCUCUAAGGGGAAAGUUCAGCACCCCUUUUUGGGGUGGGCUGGCUGGCGCAACAGCCCAGCCCUUUUCCCCCAAAAAUCCGACUUUUUUCCCCUUGUUUCUUUCCAACUCUAAACCCUCUCCACCUUAAGGGUUCCAGCAGCAAAUACUUAGAAUCAUAAAGACCCUUAAUAUACAAUAGAUUCAGCUCAAAAAUCACGGCUGGCAAUCUGUACUAAACCAUCAAGAACUUCAACACAACACCACUACAACUUCAACAACCAAUAAAUCUUCUCUUGGAAUUAAAAACAAGUUAGUGUGUGGGGGUAUGAACCAACCAACACUAAGGAUCAUCAAUCUCUCAACAUACAAUAAAUUACAACUCAAAUACACAACCCAAUCAUGUCCCACAACCAACAAUAACUUCAACAACACAACUAACAACAUCAACAACAACUAACAACUUCAACAACAAUCCAAUCUUUUCUCAAAUUAUAAAAAUGAGCUUGGUGUGUGGGGGAAAGGAUCAAACCACACAAAGAACUCACAUACCUUGAUAGGG
rnacentral:lncRNA from 1 species